rnacentral:rRNA from 1 species
UACGAAGGGGGCUAGCGUUGUUCGGAAUCACUGGGCGUAAAGGGCGCGUAGGCGGCUUUAUAAGUCGGGGGUGAAAGCCUGUGGCUCAACCACAGAAUUGCCUUCGAUACUGUAGAGCUUGAGACCGGAAGAGGUAAGUGGAACUGCGAGUGUAGAGGUGAAAUUCGUAGAUAUUCGCAAGAACACCAGUGGCGAAGGCGGCUUACUGGUCCGGUUCUGACGCUGAUGUGCGAAAGCGUGGGGAGCAAACAGG